rnacentral:rRNA from 1 species
UAGCAUAUCAAUAAGCGGAGGAAAAGAAACCAACAGGGAUUGCCUCAGUAACGGCGAGUGAAGCGGCAACAGCUCAAAUUUGAAACCUGCCAACCGGCCGGAUUGUAAUUUGCAGAGGAUGCUUUGGGAAAGGUACUGAUCUAAGUUUCUUGGAACAGAACGUCACAGAGGGUGAGAAUCCCGUCCGUGGUCGGCCGCCUGCCCCGUGUAAAGCUCCUUCGACGAGUCGAGUUGUUUGGGAAUGCAGCUCUAAAUGGGUGGUAAAUUUCAUCUAAAGCUAAAUAUUGGCCAGAGACCGAUAGCGCACAAGUAGAGUGAUCGAAAGAUGAAAAGCACUUUGGAAAGAGAGUUAAACAGCACGUGAAAUUGUUGAAAGGGAAGCGCUUGCAAUCAGACUUGGGCGCGGGUACUCAGGGACGGUUCGCCGUUCUGUAUUUGCCCGCGCACAGGCCAGCAUCAGUUUUGGGGGUGGGAUAAAGGCCGUAGGAAUGUGGCUCUUCGGAGUGUUAUAGCCUACGGUGCCAUGCCACCUCCCGGGACUGAGGACCGCGCUUCGGCUAGGAUGCUGGCGUAAUGAUUGUAAGCGACCCGUCUUGAAACACGGACCAAGGAGUCUAACAUCUAUGCGAGUGUUUGGGUGUCAAACCCACACGCGGAAUGAAAGUGAACGGAGGUGAGAGCCCUUGAGGGUGCAUCAUCGACCGAUCCUGAUGUCUUCGGAUGGAUUUGAGUAUGAGCAUAGCUGUUGGGACCCGAAAGAUGGUGAACUAUGCCUGAAUAGGGUGAAGCCAGAGGAAACUCUGGUGGAGGCUCGCAGCGGUUCUGACGUGCAAAUCGAUCGUCAAAUUUGGGUAUAGGGGCGAAAGACUAAUCGAACCAUCUAGUAGCUGGUUCCUGCCGA